UGGGGUUUCCCUUUCCCUCGGCCCCUGCUUCCCCGUCCCAGCCCAAAGCUGGGCCUCCUCUUCUCUCUCAAUUCCACUUCCUCCCCGGGUUGGGAGCAGAGAAAGGAUGGCAGCCGGUCCGUUGGCUCUCUUUUGCCCCCUCGUGGAUCUGGACAGCUUGACCAGAGGGUGCCUUGAAAAUAGCGAAGCCUGUGGUUCUCAAAGCGUGGUCUCUAGACCAUGAGCAUCACCGGGGAACUUGCUGGAAGGCAAAGGAAGCAAUUCUGUGGGACUAUCACCUGGGGGCAGCACAGGACCACUGAACCUUCUUGGAGCCUGCUCCAUCUUUCCACAUGGCUCCAUUGCAGUUUUCAGUUCCGUGGGGAAAACAACAGCCAUUCCCCUAUGUGUGAGGCCUCUUCCUUUCCUGAUGAAAUAGAGACAAGGAUGAGUCAGCCUCUCCCAACCUCCAGGAUCUCCAGUCGUCCCAGUGACUCAGAGGAUGGUCUGUUUCGUGGAUGACUGCAAUACCCUAAUGGUUGCUGGAGGCACGUGUUGGAAUAAGCCUAGAUCCCUGAAUCACAACGUGGAGGAAAGCCAUUAAGAAAUGGGAAUACCUCUUUAUUGCAUAGAGGUAAUCUGGUAAAAAUGAAGCUAUUAGGAUGAGUCCUGAUUCACUGGUGCCCUUGUAAGGAGGUGAAAUUUGGACACAGAAUAGGGACAGGCACAGAGGGGAACUUGUGUGAAGAUGAGGGGAUGAGGACAGAGCUCAGGGUGAUGAUCUAUAAGCCAAUGACCACCAGAUUGCCAGCUAAAAUCGGAAACCAGAAGAUAUCGGGAAACAGCCCUGCUGACACCUUGAUCUUGAACUUCCAUCCUCCAGAACCAUGAGCAUGAAUUUCUGUUGAUUAAGCCAUCAACUUUGUGGGACUUUGUGGGACUUUGUUGCAGCAGUUCUAGUAAACUAAUACAACACUGCACUCUUCCUAUCAAGAGGUGGAGUCCAUUUAUCACCCCCUUGAAUCUGGGCUGGCUUUGUGACUUUCUUUAGCCAAUAGAAUGAGGUAGAAACAAUGAAAUGGUACUUCUGGGUCGAGGUCUUUAAGAGGCCUGGCUGCUUUCAUCUCCCCCAGGAGAGAAACCAGCCUACCAUGUCUUAAGGCCAUUCUACAGGAGAGGUCCCAUUGAGAGGGAAACCAUUUGGAUUGUUCCAGACCCAGCCAGGCUUCCAGCUGAUGUCCCUAACCAACAGCGCACGCAGCAGAAGAACUGUCUAACUGAGCCCAGUGAACCCAAAGAGUUGAGAAAUCAGAAAUUAUUGUUUUAAGCCACUAAGUUUUGAGGGUGGUUGGUUAUGCAGCGAAAGGCAACUGAAACGAACUUUGGCAAGUCUUCUAGCAUCCCUGCCACAGUAGUCCCUACAGUGAGAAGCCUCGGGUGCCAUCCUUGCUACCGUCCUCCCCAGUGGAUUCUGGGUGCCGCCUGUUUCCUCACAUUGCUCACUUCCUCAGAAAACUCUUCAGUGGUGCGUCUGGUUGCAGGGUCCCGGUGAAGCCAGCACCCCUGCUGCACAGGAGAGCAGGAAAGAGCAUUUUGGCUUUGGAGGAGGAGGUACAGGACUCGUGACAUGGAAAAUUCCCCAAACUCAGAAGGAUGUUCAAAAGCUACUGGGCACCCCUGAAAUGAAGAGGGCUCUCCACAAGGGCCAAGUAUAUAUAUAUUUUUGUGAACUCUCUGUGUGCUUGGCACACAGCUCUGGACCCAUUCACCUUCUAAUUGUAAACAGUGCCCUGACAUCACCCUUCCUCACUCCGCAUCCCUGUGGUUUGGAAUGGACCGACUCCGGGGCUGGGCAUGUGAUUCAGGCCCAAACAAUGAUAUGUGAUCCAGGUGGAGCCAACUUGGUGUAACUUUGGCUUUUUGGUAGGACAGUUGAAAGAAAUGAGGACUUAAGCUGUGAAGGUGGACUUAGAAGCCCUGGUAGCCAUCUUGCCACAGCAAGAAACAGAGAAGAGAGAUGGGGAAGGGAAGACUAAGUCUUGACGGUAUUUUUAAAGCCUCUUGGUACCCAGAUCAGGCAGACCAUGGGCAUCUUCUCUUAUGCGAGCGUACGUAUGUCCUACUUGCUUACACCGAACCAAUCUGAGUAGUUUUUCAUCAUUUGUCAAAUCCGCAUUAAU